rnacentral:rRNA from 1 species
CAGUUAAAACGCCCGUAGUUGAAUGAGUGGACUUGUGCGGGAUGGACCGCAAGGAAAGUUUUGUACGAGUUCAAUAUUUUGGCAACAUGGGCCAUUGAGUUGGGACAUGGUAGCCAGAGCAUUUACUUUGAAAAAAUUAGAGUGUUUAAAGCAGGCGCACGUUUGAAUAGAUUAGCAUGGGAUAAUAGAAUAGGACUUUGGAUCUAUUUUGUUGGUUUCUAGGACCAAAGUAAUGAUGAAUAGGGACAGUCGGGGGUAUUUGUAUUACAUAGUCAGAGGUGAAAUUCUUGGAUUUAUGUAGGACAAACUAUUGCGAAGGCAUUUACCAAGGAUGUUUUCAUUAAUCAAGGACGAUAGUCAGGUGAUCAAAGACGAUUAGAUACCGUCGUAGUCUUGACCGUAAACGAUGCCGACUAGGGAUCGGACGAGGAUAUGAUAGUCACGUUCGGCACCUUGUGAGAAAUCAAAGUUUUUGGGUUCCGGGGGGAGUAUGGUCGCAAGGCUGAAACUUGAAGGAAUUGACGGAAGGGCACCACCAGGAGUGGAGCCUGCGGCUUAAUUUGACUCAACACGGGGAAACUCACCAGGUCCAGACAUAGUAAGGAUUGACAGAUUGAGAGCUCUUUCUUGAUUCUAUGGGUGGUGGUGCAUGGCCGUUCUUAGUUGGUGGAGUGAUUUGUCUGGUUAAUUCCGAUAACGAACGAGACCUUGACCUGCUAAAUAGUCAAGCCAACACUGUUGGUUCGAAUUGACUUCUUAGAGGGACUGUAGACUAAAGUCUACGGAAGUUU